rnacentral:rRNA from 2 species
CUCUUGCAUAAUGGGUCUGUGACUUAAUGUAUCAAGCAAGCUUAAGCCGAUAGGUGUAGGCGCAGCGAAAGCGAGUCUGAAUAGGGCGAUUUAGUUUGAUGUAUUAGACCCGAAACCCGGCGAUCUAGGCAUGACCAGGAUGAAGGUGGGGUAACACCCACUGGAGGUCCGAACCGAUUAACGUUGAAAAGUUACCGGAUGAGUUGUGUUUAGGGGUGAAAGGCCAAUCAAGCCGGGAAAUAGCUGGUUCUCCGCGAAAACUAUUGAGGUAGUGCCUCGGAUGAACACCCUAGGGGGUAGAGCACUGGAUGGAUGCGGGGGUCGCGAGAUCUACCAAUUCUAACCAAACUCCGAAUACCUAGGAGUGAUAUCCGGGAGACAGACGGCGGGUGCUAAGGUCCGUCGUCAAAAGGGAAACAGCCCUGACCAACAGCUAAGGUCCCCAAGUCACGUCUAAGUGGGAAAGCAUGUGGGAAUCCCAAAACAACCAGGAGGUUGGCUUAGAAGCAG